UACUUCACGAACUCCCUCUCGAUGUAAUUGUUUCAACAGAGUAUUGUACGAUACUCCUCUUCUUCUUCUUUCUGCUUC
rnacentral:sRNA from 1 species